UACGUGGGUGGCGAGCGUUGUCCGGAUUUACUGGGCGUAAAGGGAGCGUAGGCGGACUUUUAAGUGAGAUGUGAAAUACUCGGGCUCAACUUGAGUGCUGCAUUUCAAACUGGAAGUCUAGAGUGCAGGAGAGGAGAAUGGAAUUCCUAAUGUAGCGGUGAAAUGCGUAGAGAUUAGGAAGAACACCAGUGGCGAAGGCGACUCUCUGGACUGUAACUGACGCUGAGGCUCGAAAGCGUGGGGAGCAAACAGG
rnacentral:rRNA from 1 species